rnacentral:rRNA from 1 species
AUUGAACGCUGGCGGCAUGCUUUACACAUGCAAGUCGAACGGUAACAGCACUUCGGUGGCUGACGAGUGGCGAACGGGUGAGUAAUACAUCGGAACGUGCCUAGUAGUGGGGGAUAACUACUCGAAAGAGUAGCUAAUACCGCAUGAGAUCUAAGGAUGAAAGCAGGGGACCUUCGGGCCUUGCGCUACUAGAGCGGCUGAUGGCAGAUUAGGUAGUUGGUGGGAUAAAAGCUUACCAAGCCGACGAUCUGUAGCUGGUCUGAGAGGACGACCAGCCACACUGGGACUGAGACACGGCCCAGACUCCUACGGGAGGCAGCAGUGGGGAAUUUUGGACAAUGGGCGCAAGCCUGAUCCAGCAAUGCCGCGUGCAGGAUGAAGGGCUUCGGGUUGUAAACUGCUUUUGUACGGAACGAAAAGCCCUCUUCUAAUACAGGAGGGUCAUGACGGUACCGUAAGAAUAAGCACCGGCUAACUACGUG